rnacentral:rRNA from 1 species
UGCCAGCAGCCGCGGUAAGACGAACCGGACGAACGUUAUUCGGAAUCACUGGGCUUAAAGAGUCCGUAGGCGGCAUUGAAGGUGAGGUGUGAAAUCCCACGGCCCAACCGUGGAACUGCGCCUCAAACCACAAUGCUUGAGGGAGGCAGAGGUGAGCGGAACAGAUGGUGGAGCGGUGAAAUGCGUUGAUAUCAUCUGGAACACCGGUGGCGAAGGCGGCUCACUGGGUCUCUUCUGACGCUGAGGGACGAAAGCUAGGGUAGCGAACGGGAUUAGAUA